UGGGGGAUUUUGCGCAAUGGACGCAAGUCUGACGCAGCGACGCCGCGUGUGCGAUGAAGGCCUUUGGGUCGUAUAGCACUGUCAACAGGGACGAAAGGUCGGUUGAUAAUACCAGCCGAAUUUGACGGUACCUGUGGAGGAAGCGCCGGCUAACUCUGUGCCAGCAGCCGCGGUAAUACAGAGGGCGCAAACGUUGUUCGGAAUUACGGGGCGAAAAGAGCAUGUAGGCGGUUUUUUAAGUCGGUUGUGAAAGCCCAUGGCUCAACCAUGGAAGUGCGACCGAUACUGGAUAACUUGAGUCCCGGAGAGGGUGGCGGAACUCCCAGUGUAGAGGUGAAAUUCGUAGAUAUUGGGAAGAACACCGGUGGCGAAGGCGGCCACCUGGACUGGUACUGACGCUGAGAUGCGAAAGCGUGGGGAGCAAACAGGAUUAGAUACCCCCGUAGUCC
rnacentral:rRNA from 1 species